GUGGGCAUAGCUCAGUGGUAGAGCACGUGCUUAGCCAGCACAAGGUCCUGGGUUCAAGCCCCAGUAGCUCCA
rnacentral:tRNA from 1 species